GUGGCAUGACGAUGGGCGCCGAGUCGAUCGCCGCUCGCAGUGCCCGCAUCGCUUGAACCCUGACCACGGAUGUACUGGUGCCGGUGACAUGCGAUGAUGAGGAAGGUCGGUGCGAUUUCGCCCCGGCCUUUUUUGUU
rnacentral:sRNA from 1 species